AAUCUAGGGGUGAAGAGGGGACUAAAAGGAAAAAAAAUUGGGUCCAUUAUUUAAAGGGAGGAGCCUAUUGUUCUCUUGCCCACUUAGUCGACGUCAACUAUUCUGCACCAGAGAAUCUUACAGCAAGCCUUGCAAAUUGAAUGGACGCUGAUCUCUACGGAAUGCCUUAAAUUCAGUUCGGGAGUUUGUAUCCGAAUUUUCGAACAAGAAACAAAAAAUCUGUACUCUUCUGUUAAGAUGUAUUGGGAGAUACCGAAUAGAUGCUAGAAAAGAAGGGCCAACGCUUCCUUCUUCAUCGUUCUUCCUCCACCAUCAGUAGAAUGGCAUCAUGUCCUGAUAAACCAAAAAACGUGCAAUUUUCAACUGCUGGAUACUCUGAUUCGAAGCCGGGCGUACACAGUUGAAGUGGUUCCAAACUAUCAAUCCCGGUUUGGAAGGCCGCUACGAACAAGAUUAGUUAUUUCACUUGAAGUAACGUUUAUGACGGGCCAUAUUCAACCAUUCCCCUUCUACUGUCGCACAGGGGAUCCACCAAACCACCGUCUAUUCGCUCUUUGUCUAAUACCUUGUACGUGGAAUUCCCGUCUUAUUACUACAAUCAAAGUUACAGCGUCUACUACACAAGUAUGCCGAAUACGGGAAUACCAUUUAUUCCAGUGCAAUUACAUUUUUCUGGAACAAACGUCAACCGCGAUGUUAGGUACGUGACGGUUGGAGCUCGGAGGGGCAAGUUAUGUACGACGAAGAAGAUAAUCCUCAAGGAAGAAUGAGGAUACACUCCAUAACACGCAAGUUAACGGUGCGAUUCUAGCCACCGACAGUGAUGACAAAUGGAAGGAAUUUUUCCUGGAAUGUCUAGUGUAUCUACCACUGAAUGCGAAGAAAAUUUUGUUGGAUUGUCUGGGACAAUCAAAAGCCUCAACUAUACUGCAAGAUAUCCAAAUUCUUCAGACUGUGGUUGGGCUAUUUUUACACCGCCGGACACGAAAAUUCGAUUGUUUUUUCCAACAAUUCAAAGGGAAGAAUCAUGGCUUAAUGUGUGAGUAUCGGAUUGUGGCACUGGAUGUUUGUGGAACAUAUCCCAUCAGAGGUAAAAAGUACACAAUAUGUUUGCUGAUUCAA